rnacentral:rRNA from 1 species
GAUGAACGCUGGCGGCGUGCCUAAUACAUGCAAGUCGAGCGAACGGACGAGAAGCUUGCUCCUCUGAUGUUAGCGGCGGACGGGAGAGUAACACGUGGAUAACCUACCUCUAAGACUGGGGUAAUAUUGGGAAACCGUAGCUACUAACGGAUAAUAUUUUGAACCGCAUGGUUCAAAAGUGAAAGACGGUCUUUCGUUCACUAAUAGAUUAAUCAGCGCUGCAUUAGCUAGUUGGUAAGGUGACGGCUUACCAAGGCAACGAUGGAUAGCCGACCUGAGGGGGUGAUCGCACACACUGGAAGUGAGGCACGGCCCAGACUCCUACGCUGAGCCGCAGUAGGGACUCUUACGCGAUGCAGGAGAGGGUGAUAGAGCACCGCCGCGUGAGUGAUGAACGUCUACGGAUGGUAGAACUCUGUAGUUAGUAGAGAUGAAAUGUGUAAUUAACUGUGCAGAUAUUGACAGUACCGAAACAGAAAGCCACGGCUAGCUCCGUG